CUCAUCUAGAUACUACCCGCUGUGAGCGUACCUGACGUGGUAGUGUGGGAGUGCUGCACUACAGUGAUGAGGUGAAGGUGAUGAGCGAGCUACACCAGCACCAGGAGCGCCCAAGGAAGAACUCAGCUGAAGAGGCAUACAGGACAUCCGCUACACUCGGAAGGGAACCCACACCGCUGUGCCAUCUCCGUAGCAACUGGGCAGCUGAUGACAGGCUCUCCUCUCCAUGGCAACAAGUACAUGGUGGUGGUGACAGAUGGCCACCCGCUGGACGGAUAUAGAGAGCCGUGUGGCGGGGUGCAUACACCGUGUCUGAGCCAGAGCCAUGGACAUUAAAAUCUUCAAGCGUGGCUAUCACUCCGCAUCACCUGGACAACAGACUUGGUUCCAUAGCAACAGAUGUACAACACACCCAUAAAUGUCUGCUACUAGUGAGGACCCGCAGGUUGUUAGGAACACCAAGCUCAUAGUGUCUACCAUGGUGAGUACACCAUGGU